UACGAAGGGUGCAAGCGUUAAUCGGAAUUACUGGGCGUAAAGCGUGCGUAGGCGGUUUGUUAAGUCUGUUGUGAAAUCCCCGGGCUCAACCUGGGAAUGGCGAUGGAUACUGGCGAGCUAGAGUGUGUCAGAGGAUGGUGGAAUUCCCGGUGUAGCGGUGAAAUGCGUAGAUAUCUGGAGGAACACCGGUGGCGAAGGCGGCAUCCUGGACCGGCAUUGACGCUGAGGAGCGAAAGCCAGGGGAGCAAACGGG
rnacentral:rRNA from 1 species